AGAGAGACAAAACUGAGUUAUUGUCUGUGCAGGAAAUUCAGGAAUAAAAGUGAAACAAGGUCAUCCAUGCUCGGCAUCAAAGCUUUGUGUUGCAGGAUUGCUGCUCCUGGCGUUGCUCUGCGGAGCCUCACACCACAGGGAUCAGCUCCUGCCCUCUGACACCCUGGACUUUGAGCACCAGCACUUGUGAAGGCUCUGCUUCAGCAGGAUGAGGCCGUGGAGAAACCACCAGAGCAGGGCUGAUGCUCCCAGCAGGGUCCUGCCUUCCUCUCUCAAAGCUGGGAUGUUCCACUUUUUUUCACUUUUAAUUUCUCCAGUAUUAAUGAGGAGACACCACAACUUAGUUCUUCCUGGUUUAUAUCUACCCUUGCAAGCAGUGCCAUAGCCAGUCCCCACCAGGAACGCAAAGAUGCCGUGAUAAAUCCUCCUGAUUUCAAAAUUCUGGCACUGCCACCCCCAGAGCCAGCAGAGCCUGCAGGGCCAACACAUUACAGGGUGGGAAAGGCACGAGAUAUUAAUUAAAUAUAUUUAUUUAUGCAUUAUAUAUUAAUAUGUUAUAUAUUAAUAUUUAUCUAUUAAUUAAAUAUAAUAUAGAUAUUAUUAAUUAAAGCCAUGAUAUAUUAAUCUUAGAUGGGCUACUAAAUACCAGAAUAAUAACAAGAAUAUUAAGCAGCUUAUGCCAUAAGGCUGGAAGCAGAUGACAAAAAUUAGAGUGGCCCAAAUCUCAUUUACUGUGUAUCGUUAAAAUAAUACAUUUCUAUGCUGCAUUUUAGACUCGACAUCUAUUAAAGCUAAAUAGUGAUGGUGUGAUGACAGGUCUGAAAGCAGUUCAGAAAUAUCUGAUCUUGCUACUUCACAGGUAGAAGCUGCUAUUUUUAAAUGGUUCUGUAUAACAUAUAGAUAUACACAUACACACAUAUAUGAAAGAAAUACAUCACAGCUUAUAUUAUUUUUAUGGUUGAAGUGAACCGCUCGAAAUUAAUUUAGUUGACAAGUUACCACACAGUUCUGUGGAGGUGUUGUGGCUUCUGCAGGAUUUAAUUUCUCCCCUUGCCAUUUUUAAAUCAAAGGUAGUUGUGGUGUAUUUAAUUAUUCUUCCUGGCAGCUUAUACACUCCAAAAUCCAGCUCCUGUGCUAAGGAAAGGAAAGGGGUAAAGCUUGACAUUGAUUUAUCUGCUUAGGGAGGUUACUGAAUCUUCAGUCAGAGAAAACAGGUCUGUGUUUUACUGUGAUUCUGUUUAUAAUGGUUAUAAAAACAUCUCAGAGACAAAAAUAAGGCUCACAUGAAGGUAAGAGGCUUCAAAGUCCUCACAAGGAACGAGGUAGAAGUUGCAGUUCCCCACCCUAAGCUGUCACAUUUACUAAACUGCCUCCCAUGCCCUAAAAAGAUGCAAUCUUAUCAAUCAAAAAUUGGUGCAGCCGUACAAAUAUUCUUUACAUCACCCCACAGUGAUAUUCCAGCCAUUCUCCCUGAUGUGGAGGAGUCCUUGUGUUUCCUGGAGAGGCAGGCGAGGAGUUAAACAGCAGCUGCUGGAACAUUUGCAUGUUCAUUGAGGUUUUGAUACCACUUGAAAUUAAGUGCACAAAUAAAUAUUUUACACUUACUAUGAUAGUUGUACACUUAAAAUACCAAUUAUUCUACUAUAAGAAAGCGAUGGCGUGUUCAAAUAGUCGCAUGUCCUUUACAAAAUACAAUGUAUUGAUAAGAAGGCAAUUAAGUCUUUAUUACUGAUGUAAUUUAAAAUUAAAUUAAUUAGAUAGCAACUGAACCUUGAAAAGUGCUCCUUUAAAGAUCAAUUUCUAUUUCAUUAACUUAUAAUACCUACCGUAAGAGACGCAAAUGAAAGCGCUGCCCCGGUGGGACAGAGAACGUGGGCAUGGAAAAGUGCUUUGGAAUUUCGCUUUAAAUAACCAGGAAUUCUGUGUUGAUUCCUGCCAGGACAGUUCAGACGUCCUAAGUCUCAUUUUUUUAAGUAAUCAGAUCAAAACCUUCCAGUUCUUACUGAGGAGGGUGUGGGAAGUCCCAGGUGUGAGUGGAACCACGCCCAACAUCUAGAGGAGGUCAGGAAUGGGAAUUGGUCCCUCCUCGGGGCUCAGCAGAAGCUCCAGGUCUUGGCAUGGAAGGAAUUAUUAUUAAACAGGUACUGGAGGUGAUGGCAUGGCCAUGGCAUCUAAAUUAAGAAUGUUUUCACACUCUGGGAAAAUGACAAGAAUAAGUAAAGCCAGCAGCCUUCUUCCCUGGAAUAAUUACAGCUGAGUGAUGAAGAAUCCCUGGGAUUUACACCACGUCCUCAGUGGGAAGAGAAAAUCAGAAGGGCAGGUGCAGCUCGGGAAGGGCAGCUCACCGAAAUCUGCUCAGCCAGAAAUGCCUGUUUGGAGCAAUCACAAGUGUACCUGAGCCUGCCUAAAAUCUGUCACACUUACAGCCAUCAGCAGCCUCUUCAUCAUGAGAAAAUCAGGAUGUUUCACUCCCCUGUUACCAAAGUGUUUGGCAUUUUUGUUUUAAAAUGCUGUUGAAUUUGGGAUUUUUCAUCUGUUGAACAUGUUUUACAUUACCCCCUCCUUUCUGGGGCUUUUAGUGUUGGACACAGCAGAAAAUCAUCUUUGUUUCCUGUCAGCUUUGGGUCUAGAGACGUAGAUUCCUUCCUGCUUUGAGCAGAAAAAUGAAAAACUGAAAAAAUGUAGUUUUCUGUCCUAAACAUGACACUGGCAUUGGCACCCACACACAAGACACAGGGUGUGUGUUGGGCUUGGGGAAGUAAAGACCUCAUCAAACCUCAUCCCCAUGCUCCUCUCAGCAUUCCUGUACUUCCUUCACAGGAAAAUUACUCGAGUGAUCCCUUUCCUUGCCUCCUUCUCCCUUUUGCCAUUAGGAUGGUACUGGGAAAAAUUAACUGUGAAACUCCAUCUCCAGGCAGAUGAGGUCAACGGCAUCUUCUGGGGUGGGGCUAAUUGCCAGAAAAUUGCAGUGAGGUAUUAAAUCUGUCUCCUUUGUGAGCUGCAGAUCCAGGAGCCUGGAGCUCCAUCCCCCUCUCCCAGCGGAGCUGUGUCUUCCGUGUGGGCAAAUUGAAGUAGAGCUUUUCCUUUCUCUCACUUUAUUUCCUUGUGACACCUUUAUAGCUGCUAAUUGUGGGGACAGGUGAGUGAACUCAAUCUUUAACUCUUAUUCUGGGGAAGCUACUGAACUUUUGUGUAAUCUGCUAAUUAGGAGAAUAAUGAACUUUGACUCGUUCUCCUCUCUCACUCGUUGCCUCUUAAGGAUGUUAAUAACGAUGAAAUGGAGGGGUGACCUCCAGCUGCCCUUCCAUAACUGUCAGCCUUCACUGCACGUGGGGAGCCUGAGACUGCCAAAGUGGAGCUGCUCCAUUUGGGAAGCAGAAUAUGAGCAAAAAAUCCAGCGCUUUAGCUCACAGGAUUGGGAAACUGGGCCUUUUUUCCAUGCUGUUGGGUCAUGCUGAUGAACAGGUUGGUCCUGCCAUGGGCAGGGAUGUGACCCAUCACCCCAUGUUGCUCCAAGCUCCAUCCAACCUGGCCUGGAACACUUCCAGGGAUGGGGCAUCCACAGCCUCUUUGGGCAACAGUGCCAGUGCUGCACUUCUAAGUUUAGUCUCUAAAAUACCCAAAGGAAAAGAAAACCGAGGAGCACAAGGUAAGGAAAAAUGAAAGACCACAAGCAAAGUUGUCUCAGAGCUUCCAGAAGCUGCAGCAGAGAGCCCAUCCAGACCUCUUGGUGACAUUGUAGUGACAAUUAACCAGCCUCUGACUACUGAAACAAAGGGACAAUCAGGCAUCAGGCAGGAUCUGCCACCGCUUGGAAGUGCUGAAGCUCAUUCCGAGAUGGCAAGGGCUGGGAGGAAAGCAGCACACUGGCUCCUGGCUCACGUAUUCCAGGUGCUUUUGGGAGAGCUGGCAGGGAAAACUGCUCAGCUGAGGCUGUGGAUGUGCAAAGGCAGCACCAGCAAAUGUCAGAUGGGCUCCGGCUCUUUCCAGAGUCACCCACUGGAGGAAAUCCAGAGAAAUGGAUCCAAUGCUUUGGAAGGGCUCUCUGAAACACCUCCCAGAGUGGUCCAUUGGUUACGGGAGCUGGCACAGGCAGAUUUGCCCUCUGGAAUGUUCAGUAAAUAAAAAGCAUCUCUGAGGGAAAUCCAAAGGGAUCCAUAACAAUCCUCACCCUUUGAGGCUGGAUUUCCCCAGCAACAGAUGGACACACAACCCUCCUCAAGACCCGCACCAGUCUGGAUGUCCAUAAACGUCUGGGAAUGCAUUUCCAGUCUUUUGGCAGAAAAAGUGGUGUCAUUUAACAAUGAAUAACCACAACUUCUCCCAAAAGCAGGGAGUUGGUGGGCAGAACAAAGCUGCUGGUGAAGGGCUCCCUGUGAGGCCGGGACAUCCCGUGGUUCUGGUGCUCCAUCUCCCACUCCGACUGCCAGACCACAUUCCCACUCUGCAGACUGCCAGCUUUUUCACACUUCCUCAAGGAGAGAUCCUUUCUGCAAGGGAGGUUAAUUAAAACUGACCUGCAGGCCAUGAUUAGAAGACAAGAGGCGCUUUCUCCUGCAUCAUCCCUGCACAUCCCGCUAUCCGAAGGAAAGGGGUGGCUGGGGACUUGAGGCUGUGUUAAAUCCAUUGUUCCUACUGCUCAGUGCAAUUAUGCAAAAUAUUUUUAGAAGGGAUAACGACAAAAUAACCAUGGAGGGAUGCAACCCAAAUCCAUCCAGAAGCCAGGGCCAAGCAGGAUCCAGAGGUCUGAGAUCAGGAUAAGCCCUGCUGAAUAAAAGCAUCAGUUGAAACACUAAGGAAACUUUGCUGAAAAACACAUUGAUUCCUUCUGCUAUCAUUUGAAUGGAAAAUAUAGUAGGAAGUGUCUUCCAGCUGAACUCGUUCCCUCGAAUGACUGUUAAUAACAAUGAUUGCUGUUCAGAUUGAAGCUGCAUUAAUACAAACUUCAAUUUUAACAGCAGCAUCUUUGUCUAAUGCCAAGAGGUUUAUGUGAUGCAUAAUCAGCUCUUCUAAAAAGUGUCACAUUCGAAGUCUCAGCCUUUUAAUCAAGGAGUAGUCAAAUAAAGUGGAAAAACAAUGAGAAAAAAAAAAAA